rnacentral:rRNA from 1 species
GAUGAACGCUGGCGGCGUGCCUAAUACAUGCAAGUCGAGCGAAUGGAUUAAGAGCUUGCUCUUAUGAAGUUAGCGGCGGACGGGUGAGUAACACGUGGGUAACCUGCCCAUAAGACUGGGAUAACUCCGGGAAACCGGGGCUAAUACCGGAUAACAUUUUGAACCGCAUGGUUCGAAAUUGAACGGCGGCUUCGGCUGUCACUUAUGGAUGGACCCGCGUCGCAUUAGCUAGUUGGUGAGGUAACGGCUCACAAAGGAAACGAUGCGUAGCCGACCUGGGAGGGUGAUCGGCCACACUGGGACUGAGACACGGCCCAGACUCCUACGGGAGGCAGCAGUAGGGAAUCUUCCGCAAUGGACGAAAGUCUGACGGAGCAACGCCGCGUGAGUGAUGAAGGCUUUCGGGUCGUAAAACUCUGUUGUUAGGGAAGAACAAGUGCUAGUUGAAUAAGCUGACACCUUGACGGUACCUAACCAGAAAGCCACGGCUAACUACGUGCCAGCCGCCGCCGUAA